rnacentral:ncRNA from 1 species
UUUAGGGGUGCCCAAAAACGUAGCGUACACCGGUGCGCUUCAUGGCUGAGAUUAUACCCUUCGAACCUGAUCCGGUUAAUACCGGCGUAGAGAAAAAGA